ensembl:snoRNA Gm24252 small nucleolar RNA SNORA24
CUCCAUGUAUCUCUGGACCGGCCAGCUAUGGACGUCUCCUUUCCAAGCCAUGGAGGAGCACAUUCUUGCUUAGUGGCAAAGCCGUCACCAUGUAAUUGGUAUCAGAUACAUCGACUGGCACAAGGAGCAUCC